GUUCCACGGGGGGGGGGAUCCCCGGUGUCCGGGUGUCCCCCCGGUGUGUCCGGCUUCACCUCCACAGUUACCCUUGGAGUUCCCAGACCGCGAAUUAAAUGUGAUCCUCGCUGUCAACCGCAAUCCAGCUGCUGUGCCCAGUGUGGGAGACACCUGCUGCUCCCUCUCCAUGGGCACCAGGACGUGGAUAACCUCGGAAGAGGGGCAGACAGUUGGCUCAGACAGACCGUCGGUGGCUGCACCUGUGAAUGGCCACCCUGUCCAGGCCCAGGAACAGACCAAUCCUCUGACCAACCUGCAUGUUGUCCUGAAGGAUGCUCACUCUCUACAAUGCAGGAGAAUGCGAAGGAGACGCCUCGGUAACAGCUUCCCACUGAACAGCCUGUUGUACUGCUCAGAGGGACCUUGAUGUACAAGUCCAAAGAUCCCUGAAGGUGGCAGCACGUGAAGGUUCAGUAAUGAAGAUUCCCCAAGCAAAAGUUUGUAAAGAGGUUAACGCUCCAGGAAAAAAAG